rnacentral:rRNA from 1 species
UCCAGAGGGUGCAAUCGUUGUUCGGAAUUACUGGGCGUAAAGCGCGUGUAGGCGGUGUAGUAUGUCGGAUGUGAAAUCCCUCGGCUUAACCAAGGAAGUGCAUUCGAAACUGCUGCACUAGAGUGCAAGAGAGGAAGGUGGAAUUCCCAGUGUAGAGGUGAAAUUCGUAGAUAUUGGGAGGAACACCGGUGGCGAAGGCGGCCUUCUGGCUUGUUACUGACGCUGAGACGCGAAAGCGUGGGGAGCAAACAGG